rnacentral:rRNA from 1 species
UAGGGAAUCUUCCGCAAUGGGCGAAAGCCUGACGGAGCAACGCCGCGUGAGUGAUGAAGGUCUUCGGAUCGUAAAACUCUGUUAUUAGGGAAGAACAAAUGUGUAAGUAACUAUGCACGUCUUGACGGUACCUAAUCAGAAAGCCACGGCUAACUACGUGCCAGCAGCCGCGGUAAUACGUAGGUGGCAAGCGUUAUCCGGAAUUAUUGGGCGUAAAGCGCGCGUAGGCGGUUUUUUAAGUCUGAUGUGAAAGCCCACGGCUCAACCGUGGGGGGUCAUUGGAAACUGGAAAACUUGAGUGCAGAAGAGGAAAGUGGAAUUCCAUGUGUAGCGGUGAAAUGCGCAGAGAUAUGGAGGAACACCAGUGGCGAAGGCGACUUUCUGGUCUGUAACUGACGCUGAUGUGCGAAAGCGGGGGGAUCAAACAGG